UGACCCAGUGGUUCUUGAGAAUGUGAAGAUAACAAAAGUGAUCGAUCUCAUAACUCCUAUAAGCAACACAAGAUAGAGAGUUGGGCAAACACGGACCCCUGGAUAUACCAGAGGUGGGAUCAGGUGCCUAGGGUAAGUAAGCAUCCUGUGUCGACCGGUCACACCCGCCGUGAGUCAUAUAUCUUGAUCAGGUAAACGGAGUUAUCCGUAUUCAAAGUCAGUGUGCCAAGAACGGGAGGCUUUCAGGUAAAUAUCCACUUUUCUAGCCCAGUGAUUUUUGAGAAGAUUUUUUAAAAUGAACAUACCCUACCGGUAUUUUUGCAUUUUUGUGAUUAUUUCCCCUAUGGCCCUUCAUUUCAUCAAACUUGAAACCCUUUUACCGAAGGAUGCUUUGUGUCAAGUUUGGUUGAAAUUGGCCCAGUGGUUCUAAAGAAGAAGAUGAAAAUGGGAAAAGUUUACGACGCCGACAGACAACGGACAAAUUUUGAUCAGAAAAGUUCACUUGAGCCUUCGGUUCAGGUGAGCUAAAAGGACUGGUGUCAUUUCUUGCCGAUUUAAAGCUAUGUCUGUUAACCGUCUAAAUAGCCCUACAAGCAUGAGAGGAAGCCCAACAGAAUGUCUAAAUUCAGGUUUGAAAGAGCAAACACAGCUACUGAGAGGUACAUGUAUUUACUAAUGACACGGUAUUGUAGUAACAGAAUACACAGAUAAGACCACCGAUGAUCUUACCUCUGGAAGUCCAAACUGGACACGUGACUAUCACUUGAUUUAUCUUCUGAUAAUUUAGUAGUCUUUUACAUGUCGAAAGUCGGACUAUACGGCUUUAAUUAUUUCAGGGUUUACUUCUUAAAUAGUCAUAUACUUUCACAAGCGAUUUGGCCGCUGUGGCGUUGAGAGCGAUGUUUACACACGCUGUGGGGUCGUCUUCUUCACACAACCCGUCGACUACCUGAAGAACAUUACACUCCUGAAACUUGCGUUUCAGAAAAAUUUGUGUGCACUGAGAUCCAUCGACUGAAGUUAAUUCAUGAAAUUCAGCUGAUGUAAAUUUGGGGUGACUGUGAAGUUUUUCCAGCCAUAAUGGAUAUCAGUUGAACUGACAUUAAAAAUCACCAGAGAGCGACCCAGAAAAGGUGGCUAAAAUCGUAAUGAAAUGCAGACAAACUUAUUUAUCUAUAACUGAUUGUAGAUUGUUUAAGGAAUACCUGUAAUUAUCCACAUAAUUUAUAAAGUAAUUUUUGAUAGAAUGUUGUUUAUUUAUCAGAUUUAAUUCAACUACCUCUUAUUUGAAGCGUUUGUCGUCUAUGCCCGUAGUAUCAAUAUUGCCAAAGGAAUUACUACAAUAAAAUGAACAGUUUACAUCGAA